rnacentral:tRNA from 1 species
GGCGAGAUGGCAGAGUUCGGUCGAUUGCGUCUGUCUUGAAAUCAGAUGAAUCUUUGUUGAUUCCGUGGGUUCGAAUCCCACUCUCGCCU